CGGGGAGGGGCGGGCACGGUGCAGCGCCGCCUCCCGUUCGCCUCUGCGCCUGGCCCGGCGACUGCGGGCGCUGCGGUCCACUGGGUCCGCCUCUUCCCGGCAUGGGUUUCUGCCCAGCUCACCCGCUGUCAGCUGGGGUCCUGCUCUGGUGGGAGGAAGAGGCUCAGACGCUUCCCUGCCCUCUCGCCUCAACCACCUCGAGGCAGCGGCUCCCAGGAUGUGCACUUUGACGACUAAAGCUGAGCCGGCGCCGCCACGACCUUGGGCGGGUGGUCGGCCUCUGCCCUGAGCAGGAAGUAGAAAGUCUCAGCAGACCCUUCCUGAGGGCCGAGCAACAGUGUAGUGGCGUAUUCCACAUAGCAAACAGGUGAAUUCCUUGGAAGAUGAGGGCCAAGUCUUAUUCUUCUCAGUCUCUUCUGCAUCUAGCAGAAGAAUAAUGGUUGCACAGAAAAUCUUGGUUCAGUGGUUGAGUGAAUGAAUGGAUGAACAGGCUCUUGCACACAAAGAAGAGACAUGAUGUAUUUGCAUCCUUCCCUGCUUCAGCCAGGUCCCCAGACAGUCCCGGUGUGCACACUUCCCUGCUUCUGUUCAUGAUGUUCUCUGAACCUGGGAUCACCUUUCCCCUUCCUCUUACCUGCCCGAUCCUACUUGUCCUCCCAGAUUCAGUUUUCUGAAGCUCAGAGGGACACCUUGUAUUGCUGGAUGAUAAAAACAGGAGCAAAGUGAUGAAGUGCUGACAAGGCAACAAUAGAACAUGAGAGAUUCACUGCUGUGUAGGAAGAGAUCUUCGGUGACCAUGUAGCCUGAAGCUCUCAUUUUGUCAUCGAGGGACACCAAAACUCAGAACAGCAGCAGCUCACGCUGCUGAUGCAACACAGGUGAAGAGCACCUUCCCCUCCCCCACCUGUGGGCUGAUUCCCACCACGUGGAUCCCAAGGCCAUCCCAGGAACUCUUUGGAGGGGAGAAGCCCAGUGGAAACUGUCAGGCCUCUGAGCACAAGCCAAGCCAUCGCAUCCCCUGUGACUUGCACGUAUAUGCCCAGAUGGCCUGAAGUAACUGAAGAAUCACAAAAGAAGUGAAAAGGCCCUGCCCCACCUUAACUGAUGACAUUCCACCAUUGUGAUUUGUUCCUGCCCCACCUUCACUGAGUGAUUAACCCUGUGAAUUUCCUUCUCCUGGCUCAGAAGCUCCCCCACUGAGCACCUUGUGACCCCCGCCCCUGCCCACCAGAGAACAACCCCCUUUGACUGUAAUUUUCCAUUACCUUCCCAAAUCCUAUAAAACGGCCCCACCCCUAUCUCCCUUCGCUGACUCUCUUUUCGGACUCAGCCCGCCUGCACCCAGGUGAAAUAAACAGCCAUGUUGCUCACA
rnacentral:lncRNA from 10 species